rnacentral:misc_RNA from 1 species
UGGCUCUCGCAUCGAUGAAGAACGCAGCGAAAUGCGAUAAGUAAUGUGAAUUGCAGAAUUCAGUGAAUCAUCGAAUCUUUGAACGCACCUUGCGCCCCUUGGUAUUCCGAGAGGCAUGCCUGUUUGAGUGUCAUUUAAUUAUCAGCCUUAUUAGCUUUUGCUUCUAAUGGUCUGGAUGUGGGGGUCUUUUGCUGGUUUUGCAAGAAAUCUGCUCCCCUUAAAUGUAUUAGCUUGGUGGCCCUGGCGGACUGUCUAUUGGUGUGAUAAUUAUCUACGCCAUUAGAUUUCUGCUUUGCACUGCUUCUAACUGUCUUUAAAGACAAUCAUUGACCAUUUUGACCUCAAAUCAGGUAGGACUACCCGCUGA